rnacentral:tRNA from 1 species
GGGGCGGUAGCUCAGCGGUAGAGCACUCGGCUUUUAACCGAUUGGUCGUGGGUUCGAUCCCCACCCGCCCUACCA